AAUAAGAGAAAAUGAAGCCCAAAAUUUUAGGGGUGGCCGGCCAUAGUGCCAAGGCCCAAGCCCAUGGAAUUUAAUUUUAUCCAUGUGAUAAAUAUGAAAAAGGGCCAUAAACUUCUUCAUUUUUCAAGAACUUUCAAGAAAGAGAAUGGAGAGCCAAGAACAAGGGGCCAUUUCGGCCAAGAGAGGGAGAAGAUGAAGAUCAAAAAUCUUGAUCAAAAAAAAUUAUUUCUUCUAGUAUUCCUACUAAUUCAAGGGUCCUCUUCAACGUGGUAUAAUUGUUGAGACAAGAGAACCGCUCUUUGUCGCAAAAUCACAACCCUAGCUAAGUGAGAAGUUGUGAAGGAAAGAUUUUGGAGCAUUUGGAAUUUAAAUUUGGAGUAGCGUAAGAAGCGGAAAAGGUACUCCCAGAUGAGUUGAAGAUAUUAUGGGAGAUGUUCCAGCGAAGAUGGCAAGCUCCAUUCGCUCCCGGAGGACUGCCGAGUCAGAAUAUAUGUGUUAAAGGUUUUGUUAAUGUUAGAGACUUUGCAGACAGAGUCGUGGGUAUGGUAUGUCGGUCUAGUAAGCGGCUCCAUCAGCCGAUAUGUCGUUUUGUAUCAUGUUAUAAAGUCUGUAUGAUUACAGAUUUGGUUGACUUGAAAGCUACAAUAUAUAUAUGUUUCAGUAAGUUUUACUG